UACGGAGGAUGCAGGCGUUAUCCGGAUUUAUUAGGUUUAAAGGGUGCGUAGGCGGCGCUUUAAGUCAGUGGUGAAAGUUUGCAGCUCAACUGUAAAAUUGCCAUUGAUACUGGAGUGCUUGAAUAUGGUAGAGGUAGGCGGAAUGUGUAGUGUAGCGGUGAAAUGCUUAGAUAUUACACAGAACACCAAUUGCGAAGGCAGCUUACUAUGCCAUUAUUGACGCUGAGGCACGAAAGCGUGGGGAGCGAACAGG
rnacentral:rRNA from 1 species